rnacentral:rRNA from 1 species
UACGAGUGCCCCGAGCGUUAUCCGGAAUCACUGGGCGUAAAGGGUGCGUAGGCGGGUCUUUAAGUCAGGGGUGAAAUCCUGGAGCUCAACUCCAGAACUGCCUUUGAUACUGAAGAUCUUGAGUUCGGGAGAGGUGAGUGGAACUGCGAGUGUAGAGGUGAAAUUCGUAGAUAUUCGCAAGAACACCAGUGGCGAAGGCGGCUCACUGGCCCGAUACUGACGCUGAGGCACGAAAGCGUGGGGAGCAAACAGG